rnacentral:rRNA from 1 species
GUAGUCUCGCACAGAUGCAUAUCAAUAAGCGGAGGAAAAGAAACUAACAAGGAUUCCCUCAGUAACGGCGAGUGAAGCGGGAAGAGCUCAAAUUUGAAAUCUUGAAAGGUCACCUUUCACGAAUUGUAGUUUAAAGAAGUGUUUUCUGUUACGAUCGUAAUAUAAGUUCUUUGGAAUAGGACAUCACAGAGGGUGAGAAUCCCGUCUAUGAUUGCGAUUUGUAGCUUUGUGAUACACUUUCAAAGAGUCGGGUUGUUUGGGAAUGCAGCCCAAAACGGGAGGUAAAUUUCUUCUAAGGCUAAAUAUAGGCGAGAGACCGAUAGCGAACAAGUACCGUGAGGGAAAGAUGAAAAGAACUUUGAAAAGAGAGUUAAAUAGUACGUGAAAUUGUCAAAAGGGAAGCGUUUAACACCAGUGUUGUUUUCUGAAAAUCAACCUCUGUUAGCUUUAUGCAUGUUUGUUUAGACCUAAUCAGCUAUCUUGCAUGUUCUAUUGUUUGCAGUGGUGCACUUUUCAGUUUACAGGUCAACAUCAGUUUUUUUUACCGUAAAAAAGUUAAAGAAAGGUAGCUCAUGGCUCCGGUCGUGAGUGUUAUAGUCUUUUUCCUAUGCGGUAGGAGAGACUGAGGUCUGCAGUGUAGGCUAUUUGGCUAGAUACUCAGGUGCUAUGUGAUACCAUUUCAUAAACAACUGGUUGAUUAUGUUUUGUCUAUUGCAUACUCGCUUGUACUAUCAUACCUACGCUUAGGAUGUUGAGUCGUAGAGCACGCA